GACUAGAGUUUGAUCCUGGCCUCAGAACGAACGUUAGCGGCGCGCUUAACACAUGCAAGUCGAGCGAGAAAGGGCUUAGGCCCCGGUAAAGCGGCGCACGGGUGAGUAACACGUAGGUAAUCUGCCCCGGAGAGGUGGAUAACCUUCCGAAAGGAGGGCUAAUACAGCAUAAGACCACGGAAGCGAGAGUUUCUGAGGUCAAAGCCUGCCUCUGCAAGCAAGCAGGUGCUCCGGGAUGAGCCUGCGGCCCAUCAGCUAGUUGGUAGGGUAACGGCCUACCAAGGCGAAGACGGGUAGCUGGUCUGAGAGGAUGAUCAGCCACACUGGAACUGAGACACGGUCCAGACUCCUACGGGAGGCAGCAGUGGGGAAUCUUGCGCAAUGGGCGAAAGCCUGACGCAGCGACGCCGCGUGAGCGAUGAAGGCCUUCGGGUUGUAAAGCUCUGUGGAGGGGGACGAAUAAGGGCCGUUGAACAGGCGGCCCGAUGACGGUACCCCUUUAGCAAGCACCGGCUAACUCUGUGCCAGCAGCCGCGGUAA
rnacentral:rRNA from 1 species